AAACUAAGGACAGAGUGUGUUAAGUAAAUUGGAUUUGGUCUAGUCAUGUAUCUGGUUAAUAGCACUGUUGGACUGGUAGCACAAACAACUUCUGCAUUGAGCUGAUCUCUAGAGGAUUGCCUCCUGGCUGCACGUAUGAACAGAGGGGCUGACAGCUGGAAACAAUACUCAGAUAUUACUGGAUACCUGAGGCACAGUGUUAUGCUACUUGACAUUUCUCUCCAAAUUCACAAGGACACUCAGCAGCCACGCCCAUCCGCAGCAGCCAGACUUGACCGCCAGGACUUCACCCCAGGAAAAGGAUCAGGGAUCCUUGGACAAAUGGCCAAUUCUAGGACUCGGGCAGCUAACAUACAAGAAGGGGCUGGAUGGCGCAUCCUGUAGAAGAAGAGACUGAGGAAGUGCUCUCCCUUCUUUCCAACUCUCUGAACACAAGGAAAUUUACCGAAAGGCCAAAACAGUUGAAAGAUAGCGAAGCUGAUGAAGUAUUGGAUUACGAUUCCAUGUAUUUUUAAAAAGUUUGAGUCCUUAGUUAUAAGUAAAUGACUAAAUAAGUAGGAAUUUCAUAUAAUUUUUGCAAAUACCUUGCCUCAAGAAGGAAUGCAUAGCUCCCUGCAACUUAAAUGUGGGCUGUGGAGUGGCUUCCUGUACAAGAAUUAAAACAGAAAUUUGACAAGCGCUCCCUCAGCCAAGUGACCAGAGGUCAGUGAGCAAUGGCAGGUCAUGCGGAUGCUAGGUAGCCUUACUAAGAUGGGAAAGCAAUGACAUAUUGCCUUCUGGGGCUUCCUUAGAGGAAUACCUACUAACUGCAAUCUCUAGGAAAAACUGUCUAGAAAAACUCUAGAAACGUAUCACUGAGGGACAUUCUUUGAAACUCCUUAGAAGGGUGAAACCUUUCAAGAAGAAUUGAAGCCCAAAGCUACACAAGGUGGCAAUGCCUGUAAUUCCAGCACUUGACGGCUGCAUGUGAAGGAGUGUGAGAUCAAUGGCAACCUGGACUACAGAGAGAUAGUAAAAAAGGACAAGAAAAGAUUAAGUAAGAGAGAAAAGACUCUCUGUCAUGAGAGACACAGUGACUGCAUGUGGAAGAGAAGUAUCAUCCAUCACAGUGAGCAGGAGUCUAGUGGGACGGGAUGACCAUAAGUGUUUGUGUGGUAUAUUAGUUACUUUAUGUACUGCUGAGCUUUCGAAAGUAAGGGUUUGUUUAUUGCUGUGGGGGAGUUAAUGGCGGCAGGAGCAUGAGGCAGCCAGUCACAUGCAUGGCCAGUGAGGAAGCAGAGAGAGAUGGACACUGGUGCUCAACCCACUUUUUUUUUUUUGGUAGUUCAAGGCACCUGCUCAUGGAAUAGUGCAACAUUUAGUGUGGGUCCUCUCAUGCCAAUUAACCCUAUGUAGAAACUUUCUUACAGAUAUGCCUAGAGUUUUGUUUCCAUGGUGAUUCUAAUCCCACCAAAUUGGCAAUCAAAAUGAAUCCUUCUAGAGGGGAUCCCAGAACAACAAUAGGCCAAAGCCAGAGAAGUAGGCAUGAAAGUCUUCACUGUCAACCACAGCGCAUGGUUACUGAUGCACUAUCAUGCCGUUCCCUUUAUUGUAAUGGAGGCACCAUACAGACUAUAUGGAGUCUUCAUACAGUCUUUGUGAUUUUUCUGUAAGUGUAAAACUAACUCUAAAUAAACUUUACUUGCAAAGUA